CCUUUGUUUCCAGGACUCGAGUGCGUGGUUCGUCUGAUGCCCUGCUGGAGAUGAAGCACUUCAAUUGAGCCAUCAUGAUGAUGCAAAUUGGAAAUAGGUGCAUGAUAAGCAUCAAUAGCCUUUCACUGGCGCCUUAAGAAAGACUCCAAAACUGUGUGUCAACUUAAGCAGAGGCAGUUUAAUCAGGUGCAAGAAGCAACCUGCGAAACGGUGCUCCUCUGGUGUAGUUCUCCCAAGCCCAGUGGCGGUGUACUUCUCAUAAUGGUUCGGGCGUACCAGCAUCGAACUUGGUGACGCAUGCAGGAAGAAAACGACAGACGAGGGCGGCGAACGUACACUAGGGGGAGCCAAAUAAGAGAUGGCGGCCGCCGUGCCUCCAGCCAUCCCUGCCCUAACAACCCGCCGCGCUCAUCUGCCGUGCCCAUUUUGGCGCGUUAUACAACAUCGUCGCCCGCACCACCUGACGCACGCCGAAGCAGAACGGGCGUGCGCUCCUGACGUCCCGCCUCCCAACCGCAACGGUGGUCUUCACGCGCUCCUCGCGUCGCCUAUCGGAAACGCCUCCUCCAGUUCAACCUCUCCUCC
rnacentral:lncRNA from 1 species